ACGAACGUUGGCGGCGUGGAUUAGGCAUGCAAGUCGAACGAAUCCCAGUGGGGGUAACUCUGCUGGGGGAAGUGGCGAAAGGGGCAGUAAUGCGUGGAUAACCUGCCCCCGAGACGGGGAUAGCCCUUCUAACGAAGGGGUAAUACCCGGAGACCUGGCGAGGUGGCAUCAUCUUGCCAGCAAAGGAGUUUCGCUCGGGGAGGGGUUCACGUGCUAUUAGCUGGUUGGCGGGGUAACGGCCCACCAAGGCUGAGAUGGCUAGCGGGUGUGAGAGCACGACCCGCGCCACUGGCACUGAGACACUGGCCAGACUCCUACGGGAGGCUGCAGUCGAGGAUCUUCGGCAAUGGGCGCAAGCCUGACCGAGCGACGCCGCGUGCGCGAUGAAGGCCUUCGGGUUGUAAAGCGCUGUCGAGGGGGAGGAAAACCCGUAAGGGUACUGACCUAUCCCUGGAGGAAGCACGGGCUAAG
rnacentral:rRNA from 1 species